ensembl:snoRNA LOC120102640 small nucleolar RNA SNORA32
AAUUAAUUUAAAAAAUAUGCUACAUGAUCAUAAAGAAAAAUUCCUGUUAGGUUUUCCAUAUGCUACCUGACUAGCAGUUAACCUAUUGGGAACAUUU